rnacentral:rRNA from 4 species
CAAUCAAGUGCCUUAAGGGUGUUCGGUGGAUGCCU